CGGUAAUUCCAGCUCCAGUAGCGUAUAUUAAAGUUGUUGCAGUUGAAACGCUCGUAGUCUGAAAUUAAUCCUUAUGGGAAGAACUGCUCAACCUACUUGCAUAUCGCCGGUGGUCAUUGACGGUCAUUCACCUUGAUGAAUCUAGAGUGUUCAAGGCAGGCUUUGCCUGAAUACUGCUGCAUGGAAUGAGAUUUACAUUAUAUGUCUCUCGGUCGGAGAAAUCAAAGUAUCUUAAGAAACAGUCGAGGGCAUUCGUACUUGUUCGUCAGAGGUGAAAUUCUUGGAUUGAACAAAGACGAACAAAAGCGAAAGCAUCUGCCAAGGAUGUUUUCUUUGAUCAAGAACGAAGGUCAGGGGAUCAAAGACGAUCAGAUACCGUCGUAGUCCUGACUGUAAACUAUGCCAACUAGAGCUUAAUUGAGCGACCUAAACUCAGUUAGGAUCUAGAGAGAAAUCAAAGUUUUUGGGUUCUGGGGGAAGUAUGGUCACAAGGCUGAAACUUGAAGGAAUUGACGGAAGGGCACCACCAGGCGUGGAGCUUGCGGCUUAAUUUGACUCAACGCGGGAAAACUUACCAGGUCAAAACAUGGCUAUGAUUGACAGGCUGAAAGUCCUUUCUCGAUUCCAUGGUUGGUGGUGCAUGGCCGUUCUUAGUUGGUGGACUGAUCUGUCUGGUUAAUUCCGGUAACGAACGAGACCUUGGCCUGCUAACUAGAUAAUUUUCUUUUGAAGAUUCAUCUUCUUAGAGGGACAAUGUUGGUUACAUCACUGAAGCUCGAGGUAAUAACAGGUCUGUUAUGCCCUUAGAUGUCCUGGGCCGCACGCGUGCUAUACUGACGCAUUCAGAAAGUUACCAGUCCGGAAGGAUUGGUUAAUCAUCAAUAUGCGUCAUGUAGGGACAGUUCCUUGUAAUUGUGGAGCUCUAACGAGGAAUGCCUAGUAAGUGCAAGUCAACAUCUUGUACUGAUUACGUCCCUGCCCUUUGUACACACCGCCCGUCGCUCCUACCGAUUUCGAGUGCUCUGGUGAGUUAAUUGGACUGACCAGUUUAGAAAGAUCAACAAACCGGCGCACUUAGAGGAAGGAGAAGUCGUAACAAGGUAACC
rnacentral:rRNA from 1 species